rnacentral:rRNA from 1 species
AGUCGAGCGAACAGACGAGGAGCUUGCUCCUCUGACGUUAGCGGCGGACGGGUGAGUAACACGUGGACAACCUACCUAUAAGACUGGGAUAACUUCGGGAAACCGGAGCUAAUACCGGAUAAUAUAUUGAACCGCAUGGUUCAAUAGUGAAAGACGGUUUUGCUGUCACUUAUAGAUGGAUCCGCGCCGCAUUAGCUAGUUGGUAAGGUAACGGCUUACCAAGGCAACGAUGCGUAGCCGACCUGAGAGGGUGAUCGGCCACACUGGAACUGAGACACGGUCCAGACUCCUACGGGAGGCAGCAGUAGGGAAUCUUCCGCAAUGGGCGAAAGCCUGACGGAGCAACGCCGCGUGAGUGAUGAAGGUCUUCGGAUCGUAAAACUCUGUUAUUAGGGAAGAAUAAAUGUGUAAGUAACUAUGCACGUCUUGACGGUACCUAAUCAGAAAGCCACGGCUAACUACGUGCCAGCAGCCGCGGUAAUACGUAGGUGGCAAGCGUUAUCCGGAAUUAUUGGGCGUAAAGCGCGCGUAGGCGGUUUUUUAAGUCUGAUGUGAAAGCCCACGGCUCAACCGUGGAGGGUCAUUGGAAACUGGAAAACUUGAGUGCAGAAGAGGAAAGUGGAAUUCCAUGUGUAGCGGUGAAAUGCGCAGAGAUAUGGAGGAACACCAGUGGCGAAGGCGACUUUCUGGUCUGUAACUGACGCUGAUGUGCGAAAGCGUGGGGAUCAAACAGGAUUAG